UGUAUGUCACCAUUCAUAGCC
rnacentral:siRNA from 1 species